CGUAGGGUGCGAGCGUUAAUCGGAAUUACUGGGCGUAAAGCGUGCGCAGGCGGUUUUGUAAGACAGGUGUGAAAUCCCCGGGCUUAACCUGGGAACUGCGCUUGUGACUGCAAGACUUGAGUAUGGCAGAGGGGGGUAGAAUUCCACGUGUAGCAGUGAAAUGCGUAGAGAUGUGGAGGAAUACCGAUGGCGAAGGCAGCCCCCUGGGUCAAUACUGACGCUCAUGCACGAAAGCGUGGGGAGCAAACAGGAUUAGAUACCCUGGUAGUCCACGCCCUAAACGAUGCCAACUAGGUGUUGGGGAAGGAGACUUCCUUAGUACCGUAGCUAACGCGUGAAGUUGGCCGCCUGGGGAGUACGGUCGCAAGAUUA
rnacentral:rRNA from 1 species